rnacentral:rRNA from 1 species
CCUACGGGAGGCAGCAGUGGGGAAUAUUGCGCAAUGGGCGAAAGCCUGACGCAGCGACGCCGCGUGAGGGAUGAAGGUCUUCGGAUCGUAAACCUCUGUUAGCAGGGAAGAACGGUCACUGUGCUAAUCAGCAGUGAAUUGACGGUACCUGCAAAGGAAGCACCGGCUAACUCCGUGCCAGCAGCCGCGGUAAUACGGAGGGGGCGAGCGUUAAUCGGAAUUACUGGGCGUAAAGCGCUCGUAGGCGGUAUGUCAAGUCAAGGGUGAAAUCCCCGCGCUCAACGUGGGAACUGCCUUUGAAACUGGCAGACUGGAGUGGGUGAGAGGAUAGUGGAAUUCCAGGUGUAGGAGUGAAAUCCGUAGAUAUCUGGAGGAACAUCAGUGGCGAAGGCGACUAUCUGGCACAUAACUGACGCUGAGGAGCGAAAGCGUGGGUAGCAAACAGGAUUAGAUACCCCUGUAGUC